rnacentral:rRNA from 1 species
UACAGAGGUCUCAAGCGUUGUUCGGAUUCAUUGGGCGUAAAGGGUGCGUAGGCGGCGCGGUAAGUCGGGUGUGAAAUCUCGGGGCUUAACUCCGAAACUGCAUUCGACUACUGCCGUGCUUGAGGACUGGAGAGGAGACUGGAAUUUACGGUGUAGCGGUGAAAUGCGUAGAUAUCGUAAGGAAGACCAGUGGCGAAGGCGGCUCACUGGCCCGGUACUGACGCUGAGGUGCGAAAGCGUGGGGAGCAAACAGG